CGCGCACGCUGGCGGCAUGCCUAACACAUGCAAGUCGAACGAGACCUUCGGGUCUAGUGGCGCACGGGUGCGUAACGCGUGGGAACCUGCCCUUAGGUUCGGAAUAACUCCCCGAAAGGGGUGCUAAUACCGGAUAAUGUCUUCGGACCAAAGAUUUAUCGCCUUUGGAUGGGCCCGCGUUGGAUUAGCUAGUUGGUAGGGUAAAAGCCUACCAAGGCGACGAUCCAUAGCUGGUCUGAGAGGAUGAUCAGCCAGACUGGGACUGAGACACGGCCCAGACGCCUACGGGAGGCAGCAGUGGGGAAUAUUGGACAAUGGGCGAGAGCCUGAUCCAGCAAUGCCGCGUGAGUGAUGAAGGCCUUAGGGUUGUAAAGCUCUUUUACCCGGGAUGAUAAUGACAGUACCGGGAGAAGAAGCACCGGCUAACUCCGUG
rnacentral:rRNA from 1 species